rnacentral:rRNA from 1 species
AGAGUUUGAUCCUGGCUCAGGAUGAACGCUGGCGGCGUGCUUAACACAUGCAAGUCGAACGGUAACAGAGAUAGCCUGCUAUCUGCUGACGAGUGGCGGACGGCUGAGUAACGCGUGGGAACGCACCCCAAAGUGAGGAAUAACUGCCCGAAAGGGUAGCUAAUGCCGCAUAUGGUCUUCGGAUUAAAGUCUUCGGACGCUUUGGGAGCGGCCUGCGUCGGAUUAGGUAGUUGGUGAGGUAAUGGCUCACCAAGCCGACGAUCCGUAGCUGGUCUGGGAGGAUGACCAGCCAGACUGGGACUGAGACACGGCCCAAACUCCUACGGGAGGCAGCAGUGAGGAAUCUUCCACAAUGGGCGAAAGCCUGAUGGAGCAACGCCGCGUGCAGGAUGAAGGCCUUCGGGUUGUAAACUGCUUUUAUAAGUGAGGAAUAUGACGGUAGCUUACGAAUAAGCAUCGGCUAACUCCGUGCCAGCAGCCGCGGUAAUACGGAGGAUGCGAGCGUUAUCCGGAUUUAUUGGGUUUAAAGGGUGCGCAGGCGGGAUUUUAAGUCAGCGGUGAAAUUUUCAGGCUCAACCUGAACACUGCCGUUGAAACUGGGAUUCUUGAGUAUGGAUGAAGUAGGCGGAAUUCGUUGUGUAGCGGUGACAUGCUUAGAUAUAACGAGGAACUCCGAUUGCGUAGGCAGCUUACUAAGCCAUAACUGACGCUCAAGCACGAAAGCGUGGGGAUCAAACAGGAUUAGAUACCCUGGUAGUCCACGCCGUAAACGAUGAUUACUAGUUGUUUGCGAUAUACCGUAAGUGACUAAGCGAAAAGCGAUAAGUAAUCCACCUGGGGAGUACGCCGGCAACCGGUGAAACUCAAAGGAAUUGACGGGGGCCCGCCCAAGCGGAGGAACAUGUGGUUUAAUUCGAUUAUACGCCAGGAACCUUACCCGGGCUUGAAAUGUACCUGACCGUCCUUGAAAAAGGACUUCUAGCCAUAGCAGGUAUGUAGGUGCUGCAUGGUUGUCGUCAGCUCGUGCCGUGAGGUGUCGGCUUAAGUGCCAUAACGAGCGCAACCCACAUUAUUAGUUACUAACAGGUUAAGCUGAGGACUCUAAUAAGACUGCCGUCGUAAGAUGCGAGGAAGGUGUGGAUGACGUCAAAUCAGCACGGCCCUUACGUCCGGGGCGACACACGUGUUACAAUGGGAGGUACAAAGGGCUGCUACCUGGUGACAGGAUGCUAAUCCCCAAAGCCUCUCCCAGUUCGGAUCGGAGUCUGCAACUCGACUCCGUGAAGCUGGAUUCGCUAGUAGUCGCGCAUCAGCCAUGGCGCGGUGAAUACGUUCCCGGGCCUUGUACACACCGCCCGUCAAGCCAUGGGAGCCGGGGGUAUCUGAAGUGCGUAACCGCAAGGAGCGUCCUAGGGUAAAACUGGUGACUGGGGCUAAGUCGUAACAAGGUA